rnacentral:misc_RNA from 1 species
CCAAUAGCGUAUAUUAAAGUUGUUGCAGUUAAAAAGCUCGUAGUUGAAUUUCGGGGUUAGUAGAUUGGUCAUGCCAUCGGUAUGUACUGGUCUCACUGAUUCCUCCUUCCUGAUGAGCCGUAAUGCCAUUAAUUUGGUGUUGCGGGGAAUUUGGACUGUUACUUUGAAAAAAUUAGAGUGUUUAAAGCAAGCUAACGCUUGAAUACAUUAGCAUGGAAUAAUGAAAUAGGACGUUCGAUCCUAUUUUGUUGGUUUCUAGGAUUGACGUAAUGAUUAAUAGGGAUAGUUGGGGGCAUUAGUAUUCAAUUGUCAGAGGUGAAAUUCUUGGAUUUAUUGAAGACUAACUACUGCGAAAGCAUUUGCCAAGGAUGUUUUCAUUAAUCAAGAACGAAAGUUAGGGGAUCGAAGACGAUCAGAUACCGUCGUAGUCUUAACCAUAAACUAUGCCGACUAGGGAUCGGAUGAUGUUAAUUUUUUAAUGACUCAUUCGGCGCCUUACG